rnacentral:rRNA from 1 species
AUGUAUACUGCAGCUUUCCUCGCCAUAUGGCUUUGCCUCUACGUCUUUGUUGGUGGUGGGCCAUAUAUUCACCCUGGGGUAUUAGUGAUGGCAGCAUGGAUUUCCCUAGGACGACGCAUCUCUCUGGGUCCACCUGCUCUUUGCUCCCUUUAUUACUCACUUCGGCGAAUUUGUACUCAUCCUAUUGGUCCCUCGUUUAUACAUAGAAUUUGGCCGGUCCACUUCCUUACUGGACGGAUGGGUGUGUACCUCAAGAAACCCUAUGGAAACAGAGCAAAAAAGCCACAUUUCCCGAGCCCUAAACUUUUGGCGGUGCAACCUAAUAUGGUGAAAACCAUGUUUAAGACGCCACGUGAUUGUACUCUUGAAGAAGCACAUGCUUUCCUCGAUGAUUAUAAGAAUAUUGCUUGGAACCCCUAUUACCUCACUAUGGAAGGUGUGUUCAAACCCAAGAGGGCGUUCUUAAUUUCUAUUCGUCGAGGCACAUGCUGCCGUGGAUGCAUGGUACUAUCACCUCCGACGUGUGUAUAG